rnacentral:lncRNA from 1 species
UUAUUCAGUAUACGACGUAGCAGUAUAUAUAGUAGACAACUCAUCAUCACCCGUAGAUAGAUAGAGACUCAAGCAUGGUCGUCGUCGAUGCUCCGGCGCCGACGACGGCGGCGGAAUGGAUCAUCGAUCGACGAUCAUCAGGUCGUCGUUUCGGUUUAGCUCACCCUGGAGCAGUCGGUGGAGGUGCUGAUGGUGUAGGGGAUGCUGACGCCGCACUUGGAGGGGAUGCUGGCGGCCUUGCCGACGUUGAGGCCGCGGAUGCCACGGGCGGCGUUCUUGAGGCAGUUGCAGGCGGCGCGCCUGUCGGCGGUGGUGCGGGCGGCGGAGUUGAGGCUCCUGACGCCGCUGCAGCAGCCUGCGGAGGGUCCAGAGCCCUGGCCGCGGGCGUAGGACAGGCAGGGCCCGAUGGCGGAGCUCACCUGACCGCAUGUCACGGCGGCCUCCGAGGUCGUCGCCGCCAGCACCACCGCCGCCACGACGGCGAUCGCCACAGCAAGCUUCAUGCUGCGAGCCAUGUCGAUCUCGAUCGACCUCCUGUGAUAUAUGUGCUGAUGCUCGUAGGUGACUGAUAGCUUUUGGGAUGCAGUGAGUGAGCAAGUGCUAGCUGGUGAGGAGAUUGCAAUGGAAUGUUGCUCCUUAAAUAGGCAGGCUUUGUGAUCGAUGUGUGAGCUAGCUAGCGAUUGCUGAUGAGUGAUGUGCAUGCAUGGGAUGGGUGUGCAUGCUGUUUCAGUCGGUGGAUGCAUGCAUAUGCGUAUAUGUCCAUGGAUCGAUGGUAUCUCUCGCCAUGCAUCGAAGUUAACUGCUGGGGAGGAGGUGGUUGGGUGUUGAGGGAGGAGGGCAGAUGCUUGUUUAGUUGUUGUAAUACCCGAUUUUAAGGACAAAACCAGAUAUGCACCAUAUGUGAGUUUUAAAAGCCAAAUCUCACAUAUAGCUACAAAUAAGGGGUAAUAUCAAAAGACAAUGCAAAAAUUAUAUAACGUACAUAAUAUAAAAGAGAUAACCUUUGAUAGCAAACAACGGAUAGACAACUCCAAACUCCGGGUAUUAACUUCUCUCUACAGGAUCCAACUGACUGGUUGAUCACAAGCCUAAACUUCUCCUGAGGUUUGGGGGAAAUAGCAAGAGUGAGUCCAUGUCAAACUCCACAAGUAUAGCAACUAGAUUGUAUAGCUCCCACAAUCUCAUGAUCAAUGUGACAUAAAUAAUGUAAAGCAUUAAACAAUAAGCAAUGAGCAUAUUUAACACACAAGAUUCAUCACCCUUAAUGUAGAUGUCCCCAAGGCCGUUCCUGACCGUGAGCUCGGCUAGUAUACUAGUUUUAACACUCUGCAGAGGUUGCACAUCUUUACCCAUGAGUCAUGAUUUACCCUUUCGCCCGAGGUGAUCAGCCUCUUAACCCACUUCCAAGGAAGGUCGGCAGGGAUCACUAUGAAGCCUUUCAAAAGUUCGUCUAACAUGUUAGGGCCGCAAGGUUUCCUUUGCGAGCAGAUAUAGAUACCCCCCUUCCGAAUGGCACAAUGACGCGCAGCCUAUACACAUAGGGACAGGGGCUCGCACUAUACCCGUGUCGGUUCAGCCCCUCCGCCCUUUCGGGUAACCUCUAACAAGCUAGAAAAGGUCUUCAUACUGAGCUAAAGCCAGAGCCAUUAUAGCCCUCAUGGUUGCACUGUUAUCCCGGGUGAUCACGUACAGACAAAUCAUCAAGUUGUUAAAAAGUCAUUUUUACCAUUUAUUACUUAACAUUAAUCUAGUCACAGGAUCAUGGUCACAGAAAUAAAAUCCAAAUGCUAUACUUGCCUCAAUCCAAUUGCUCUUGCUUAUCCUUUUGGUCCUGCUGGUCUCACUUGUUGCCAAAGCUUUGAUCUUGAUCACCGAAACUGCUCUCCGUCUAAACUCGAUCAUCGAUCAUCAACACACAAACAAUCGGACACAACAUACACGUAGCAAACAAGGCUAUAAUUAGAACAGUACACCAAUCAUAUAAAAACAAUAUGAAAAAUUUGUAAAAUAAUUCUACGCAUCGCUACGAUCUCACAGACGUAAAGAUGACGAAAAUCGGAGUUAAAACGGAAAAGAUAUGGAUUUUCUAAGAUUUUAUAUAGAAAAGUAAUUAAUUAAUUAAGGUCACGAAAUUAAAAGGUUUCAAACUGAGUGAACAAUAUUACUAACAUGUAGUGCUCGUGAUUACGAACCUAACACAAUUUCAAUGGACAAAACGGAGUUAAAACAGAGAUGAUAUGGCCUAAAUAAACUAGCGUAUUUUCUUUGUAUUUUUAGGUUUGUUUUUCUAAAGGAAAACGGCAAUAAAACAUGUCUAUGUUAUAACGACGUCAUCAAGCUAGCCAGCAACGUUUAUUCGCAGAUAUAUGUUAGACAUGUACAUCCCUAGAUCGAUUGCUGCGCAGAUAGAAACAUCGCCGGGCGAAACAAAUCAGUGCAUGCACUUGUAGAGGCUUUGUGAAAUUUCUCACACAGGAAUCGACAUAUUAAAGAUGCAAAGUUACCUCUUAUGGUGAUUAUAAGAUUCAAUAGGACAUGCUUGCCGAACGAUGGGUCAGUGGCCACGUCGUCAAGAACAGGUUGAUCUACGGCAACACCUUCUACUCCCGUGCUCUGUUGCUUGCUACUCUUCACGUGGCCAGCGAUUUGGUCUUCUGCUUCUUUGGUCCACAAUCACGAUGGUUCACCGGAACAUGGCAAGCAGCUCUGGCAAGCAGGACGUGGCAAGAGCAGAGCGGCGGCCGUAACAUGGCAAGGGCAGCAUCUAUCUAGGCAUGGCCGACGGCGGCGGCUCUCAAGGGUUUUAAGGACGUAAACACUCUAGACGAAUAUGACGUGUAUAUAUACGUGCGGUCUAGAUCAAGUUUGAUUAGGGUUAGAACUUAUUAUUUUUGGAAUUAAUUAUUUUCAUGGAUAAAAUAAUUAUAGAAAAGUCCAGAAUUAUUAUUUAAACUAUGAAAAAUAUUCUAAAAGCUCUGAAAAUUCGGAGAAAAUUCUCAGAGACAUUAUGGAAUAUGAGGAACUCAAAUAACGUAUUUGGACCUCAUGAUAAGAUAAUUUGGAGCAUCUAAAAAUUAGAUUUAUGCUCAUAGAAAAGUGAGAAUAGAAGAUGGAAAAAUUCCCGAAAAGUUUGUAGAGAUUGCUUGAUGGACGAGGAACUAAAAGAAGUGCUUUGAGUGACAAAGAAAAGAUUUUAGGAAGCUCCUAAUAAAAAAUUGAGCUGAGAAACCAAAGAAUUUGGUUAUAGAUAAAGAUAAAGACGUACUGGUCAAGGAAGAUCUACUAAACGCAUUUUAAAACUUUGCUCACUCAACACAUAAAGGAGCAACAAGUCAACAUCACAUCAAAACAUAUGCACCAGCAUGUAUGCACAACAAUAUUGCUAAGGCUUAUGAUAAAUUUUAAUUUAAUGAAAAUUAUUAUUUUCCUUAUAUUUUCGUGAGCACAAAAUACAAAACUGAAUAAAUUUUCAUCUAUUUUGAAAAGAGCAAAAUUUAGGGUGUUACAGUUGUCAAAAUUUUUUAAAAUUCUCAAUCAAAUUAAAUCUUGGGACACAAUGUAUCAAAUAUUAAAUAUAGAUAAAAAUUAAUUAAUUAUAUAGUUUGUAUAUAAUUUGCGAGAUAAAUUUUGUAAACCUAGUUAAUCUAUAAUUAAACAAAAAUUAUUAAAUAUAAACGGUGCUAUAGUAACUAGAUCCAAAAAUUUUCACCAACUAAGGGCUUGUACAACGAUGGGCGCUUAUGAUCAGGUAUUGGCCGUUAAAUAGUUUUUUUGCCACACGGUGGAGUCCUGAGCGGGCGCUUAAAAAUAGAUUUGCCGCUCCGUAAAGCAUCGACGCCUAGACCGGCUCCUUGCUUGAUACUGGUGUUUGCAUGCGACGUAACGGUCACAACUUAAGCGCCUUCAAAUACGUGUUGUGUUGUAGAUUAAGGUUAUAAAGAGACGCUUAGUUACAAAAGUAUUUUCUCUUUCCAUCUAAGCGCCUUUUGCAUUGUACGUGCUCUAAACAAGGCCACAGAUACAGACAUACAGUGGUUAGCUGAGGCAGAGUGAAAUCAUUAGCAGCAAACAUAUAAUAAAUAGCAGCCGCCUAGCACGACUUAGCGCCACUUAAGUUUUGUUUAGUUACGCUCGAAAUCCAAAAACUUUUCAAGGUUCUCUUCACGUCGAAUUUAGAGACACAUACAUGUAGCACGACUUAGCGCCACUUAAGUUUUGUUUAGUUACACUCGAAAUCCAAAAACUUUUCAAAGUUCCCUUCACGUCGAAUUUAGAGACACAUACAUGAAGCAUUAAAUAUAAAUAAAAAAAUAACUAAUUACAUAAUUUAUCUGUAAUUUGAGAGACGAAGCUUUUGAGUCUAGUUAGUCUAUAGUUGAACAAUAAUUAUCAAAUAUAAAAAAAAAUGUUAUAGUACCAAAAAAAUCUUUUCACUCACGAACUAAAUAAAGGCCCUAAUCUCAUCAUCCGCCUCACUGUUUAAUCGAAUGUCCUUGAUGGCCACCCACAGGCUCACAAAACCUGAGACGGUGAGACCUUGCCUGGGGUAGUAUAUGGGGCCAAUGGCCAAUCCAUUUAUCAGUUUGCCCAAGGCAGGUGGUGGGCCACUCUGUUCAAUUUUGAGUCUAAUAUAUGCAAUAUCUUCUCUUUUGUGCAAUUUUUGUCCGUGGGUUCAAACAAUCCUGCCACCGUGUCACCGGUGGCUGAUCGUGUCAACCCUUCGCCGCAGUCCGCUCCACCACAGUACGGGGGGCCCAGUUGCAGUCUCUGCCACCGCAGUAGGGAUGUUGAACUUGUAAUAAUAAAUAUGUGAGUGCUUUUAAUAUAUAAUGCAUGUUGGUGAUAUAGAUGUGAUAAUUGGCGUGUGUGUAUAUAUAUUGUCUGUUACAAUGGAAUGUAAAAAAUAAAACAAAUACAAUUCUCGGGGUCUUCGCCGAGUGCGGUGCCAGGGUCACUUGGCAAAGCAAUUUAAAAAAACAAUUUUGCCGAGUGUCGGGGCCACGACCACUCGGCAAAGAAUUUUUCUUUAAAAAAGAAAAGACACUUUGCCGAGUGCUGAUGCUAGGGGCACUAGGCAAAGUAUUUUUAAAAAAAACAAAUAUGCGGAGUGCCGCGGCAAGGGACACUCAGCAAAUAUUUUUUUUUUAAAAAAAAAGAAAGAAAAUCUUUGUCGAGUGCCUGAGGCCAGAGGCACUUGGCAAAGCAAUUUUUUUUAAAAAAACUUUGCCGAGUGUUAAGGGGCCAGGGGCACACGGUAAAAUAUUUUUUAAAAAACAAAAACUUUGUCGAGUGUCGUGUCGGGCAACUCGGCAAAAUAACUGUUAACGGCAGAUGCUGUGACGGCCAAAAAUGUUGCCGAGUGCUGUCGUAAGCACUCAGUAAAAUGUUUUUAAUAUUUUGCUAAGUGCCUCGGUAAAAAGCACUCAGCAAAGUCUCUUUGUCGAAAAUUUUUUUGCCGAGCGAACUUUGCUGAGUGCUACGUUCGGCAAAGCCUUUGCCGAGUGCAAAGGGCUCUUUGUCGAAUGUAAAAACACUCGGCAAAGUCCUAAUUUCCAGUGGUGGGUGUGCUGGGACAAUUUAGAAAGCAAGCAACGAUUUCAUUUUGCGUUAGAUCACUCCCAUCCUCGAAGCCUCAGUUUUUUUUUUCAGAAAUAAGUUCCAGCUGUUGCUGCUGAGAACUAAAAGAAGCUUUUCACCCUUGAUUGAUCAAUGGAUUGGCUCUCUAGUUUAACAGGCUUCUUUGUUGUACUCUUUUUGCUCUUUUUUCCUUAGUUUUUUUGUUCCUUAGUUAAGACUCCACCCUACUGCCUCCUUAACUGUUGUGCUUUUUUUUUUGUAAAAGACCUUUUUUAUUAUAAUUUUUGCAUUGUUGUAGGGGUGCAAACCCCUCCAAUCUCCUUCAAAAAAUUCAAAAGUAAUAUAACCUUGCAGAACAAAGGACGGUAAUCCCACCAUUUUGCUAUGUGAGCCCACUCCUCUUAUUUUUUUUACUUUUAUUUUGAUUAUGCCCACUCCUGUUAAGCAGUCAUUUGUUCCAUUCCCUAAAUAUAUUUCUAUUUUUUAGAAUAUUCAAUAAGGCGUAUAUACAUUAUAUUUUAAGAAAUAAACUAUAUUCAAGACAAAUCUACCCACAUCAAUAUUACUUGUAUACAUUCAAAUAAACAUGUAGACAUAAUAAUUCGAUAGUUAAGGUUUCAAAAUGAUUGAAAUAAGACAACUUGAAAUAUGUCACAAUAAAAAAUUAUUUGUGGUCAAAGUUUCUGAAAUUAUUGACUUACGACAACGUACAUCCAAGUGUCACUUAAUUGCUUUGUGAGCAGAGGGAGUAUAUAUUUUGGCAAGUUACCCUCCAUCUAAAAAUAUAAAACACAUGUUUUUAGGACAGUAAGAUUUGACCAAUAGGUGCUUGUGCCAUUAAUAUGCAUAAAUCAUAGAUACUUUUGAAUACAAAUAUCUAGUUACAUCAAUUUGCUACCACAAAAUUGCAAGUAUCUUGGUUAAAGCCAUGUCUAACAAAACAUGAGCUUUGGGAUGGAUAUAUAUCAUAUUGGUGUGUACGUUUAGUAGUCUCUCUUCGUUUCAAUUUAUUAGAUGUUGUUUUGGCUUUUGUAGAUACAAAAAUUUUUUUAUGUAUCUAGAUAACGUUUAUUAUGAUAUAGAUAUAUCGUAUAUCUAUAUGCCUAAAAAACUGAAUAUCUAGAAAAACUAAAAUAACCUAUAAUUUAGGAUAGAGGGUGGUAAUAAUUAUACAUCUUCUGCUACCAAGUCCCUUAAUUACAGCACACAGCUCUGUUUUCUAGUUGCCUUGAUCGUUCAUCAGAUGAAUUAUGUAUUUGAAGAGUAGCGCGUGUGUGGUCAUGUCAUGAAAACGUGCUAGCUAGGUACUUGUUUUAAUUUCCACCGUGUGAGUAUUUUUUUUUUUCAAGUGGCGAGAGUUCAUUAAUUAAAUAAAACCAUUCAAUUUUUCAAAUCACAAUACGUUGUCUGCAAAUCCUCUGAGUCAGCCAGUUUUUCGUUACGUGCUAUACUCCGUCCAUUCUAAAUUAUGUUUUUUAAACUUUUUGGUAUAUUCAUUUUGCUACAUACUAAAAAAAUUAAAAAUAACUUAUAAUUUAGAACAGAAGAGGUAUAUAUAUAGUUGCAUAUAUGCUGACAAGUGUUUGGGGGAGAAUAGAGCAGUAACUCUCUUGACCAAGCGUUUGGGAGUCAUGGAACACAGUCACAUGGCGCAUGCAUGCGUAACAACAAUUUGGAAACAAAGAGAUGUGUGUGUGCAUGUAGCAGUGAUCGAACUAGUACAAACCACAGGAGCGAGAGGAAACGUACACGGACAUAAAUAAUAAACACCGCACAUAGUGCAUGCACUCAAAAAUAAACCCAACAAGCAAAAGUACAUCUCUCACACACACAUGUACACACGCACGUACGUACAUACGCUAAGAUGCAAGCGUAUCACAGCGUACACGACGACACGUACGUACAUACGGAGAGAUUUUUAUUCAGUAGUACGACGUAGCAGUAGUAGACAACUCAUCAUCUCAUCAUAUCAGGCGUAGAUAGAUACUCAUCCAUGGUCGAUGCUCCGGCGCCGAUCGACGACGACGGCGGCGGCGGCGGAAUGGAUCAUCGAUCGAUCGAUCAUCGUUUAGGUUUAGUUCACCCUGCAUGAUCAUGCAUGC